UCAUACUUAUGACCUUGAGGCUACUGAACAUCUAGGAAGUUUUUUCCUUUUUCCUUUUUUCAUUCACUGUUCGUGCAUUGAGUUGAAACAAGUCUACCUUUGAAUAUUGUUUCGCAAAUGGUUAACAAACGUGGUUCUUUCUCUGCUUGUCGGUCUAAUGCACAUGUUUGACGUAGUACUGGACAUGGUUUCUACUCGUGGUGGUGAUUGAGUUGGGUCUCAUCCGACUAGGCCUCGAACUAGGGCAUAGAUCGAUCCUCAGCUUAGAGUUGGGAAUGGGGAUCAACCCCGAGUUAUUGCUUUUGAAGAAGUGCAGGAUUAGGUUGUUCGGGAUGCUCCAUCAACAGCGCCAGCUGCUGUACCUACUGUUGCUUUGCCUGCAGAUGCAGUGAUGAGAUGGUUGAAUGUGUUAGAGGCAUUGGUGCCUAAUCGGGAUGGAGUUCCAGCUUAGGCUACUUCGUAAAGGAAGACGCAAGUUCAGUUGAAUGUUGCAGCUACUCAGGCACCCCAGCCAAUUGAUCACUCGGUUGCAACUGUAAG
rnacentral:lncRNA from 1 species